GUUGCCGUGCCUGCGGUCCUACUGGCCCCACGGUGAUGGACCUGAAUUUUACAUGAAGGUUGACUCUUUCUAGUUUAAGCGAGGAAUCCAGAUGGCAUCUCCGUCAAGGAAAGCAUGAAAUUCUCUCUUGCCACUGCAUUUGCAGUCCGGUGCCAACUUGAAACGUAGACAGAUGCAAAUAACGCUCUGAACACCUGAGGUUUGAAGUCCUAGAGCAGGGUGCCUUUGAUACUCCCAGUGCCUGAGGUCGGCCCCCACGCCCUGUUGUGACACACAUGCCUAAGCCCUACGCCUGCAACACGCUCGUACUCAGAGAGGUACCAAAAUAGAAGACUGCCAGAAAGAGAGGUGUUUGGUUACACAUCACAGAUGACUGUCACAAGCGAAUUUAGCCAAGGCAGUGAAAGCUGCAUAUCCCACACCGUUGUGAAACAGUGAGCUGUGGACAAACAGGAAUUACCUUUUAUGGUGGGG